rnacentral:rRNA from 1 species
GAUGAACGCUAGCGGCAGGCCUAAUACAUGCAAGUCGAACGAGAUUAAGAGGCUUGCUUCUUAUGAAAGUGGCGCACGGGUGCGUAACGCGUAUGCAACCUACCUUAAUCAGGGGGAUAGCCCGAAGAAAUUCGGAUUAAGACCGCAUAAAAACACAGGAUAGCAUUAUCCAAUGUUCAAAUAUUUAUAGGAUUAAGAUGGGCAUGCGUGUCAUUAGCUAGUUGGCGGGGUAACGGCCCACCAAGGCGACGAUGACUAGGGGAUCUGAGAGGAUGACCCCACAAACUGGUACUGAGACACGGACCAGACUCCUACGGGAGGAAGAAGUAAGGAAUAUUGGUCAAUGGAGGGAACUCUGAACCAGCCAUGCCGCGUGCAGGAAGACAGCCCUCUGGGUCGUAAACUGCUUUUAUUCGGGAAUAAACCUUUCUACGUGUAGGAAGCUGAAUGUACCGAAGGAAUAAGGAUCGGCUAACUCCGUG